rnacentral:rRNA from 1 species
GACGAAGGAUGCAAGCGUUAUCCGGAUUCAUUGGGUUUAAAGGGUGCGUAGGCGGACUUGUAAGUCAGUGGUGAAAUCUCUCAGCUUAACUGAGAAACUGCCAUUGAUACUGCAGGUCUAGAGUAUAGAUGACGUUGGCGGAAUAUGACAUGUAGUGGUGAAAUACUUAGAUAUGUCAUAGAACACCGAUUGCGAAGGCAGCUAACGAAAACUAUAACUGACGCUGAGGCACGAAAGUGCGGGGAUCAAACAGG